GAAAAUUUCAUCGCCACCCUAAUUAUGCCUUUGACACUUUCAUUUUCGUUGCAUUACAUAAGUUUGCCAAUGACAUUACACAAGGUUUGCCCAAAGGUGGUUAGUUUCCAGUGGUUCCAAAAUAAUUUCAUGAUAAAUGAGAAACACAUCUACCCUGUCUUCAUAUCAUCAUUCUAUUUUGGGCAACAUGAAGACAAGCAUCAUUGACAGCAGCAAAUGU